AGCUCCGUAGCUUGAAGGAAAGAAGCGCCCGUCUAGCAAAUUGGGAGUCGUGGGUUCGAUUCCUACUGGAGCAC
rfam:Aedes albopictus isolate Foshan contig85828, whole genome shotgun sequence.